GUGUGAUAGAUACAGUAUGAUAGAUACAGUGUGAUAGAUACAGUAUGAUAGAUACAGUGUGAUAGAUACAGUGUGAUAGAUAGGUUUGAUACAGUAUGAUAGAUAGGAUAGAUACAAUAGGAUAGAUACAGUGUGAUAGAUACAGUAUGAUAGAUGUGAUAGAUAGGAUAGAUACAGUAUGAUAGAUACAGUAUGAUAGAUAGGAUAGAUACAGUAUGAUAGACAGGUUCGAUACAGUGUGAUAGAUAGGAUAGAUACAGUAUGAUAGAUACAGUAUGAUAGAUAGGAUAGAUACAGUGUGAUAGAUAGGUUCGAUACAGUGUGAUAGAUAGGUUCGAUACAGUGUGAUAGAUAGGAUAGAUACAGUAUGAUAGAUACAGUAUGAUAGAUAGGAUAGAUACAGUAUGAUACAUACAGUAUGAUAGAUAGGAUAGAUACAGUAUGAUAGAUACAGUAUGAU
ensembl:lncRNA